UACAGAGGGCCCAAGCGUUGUUCGGAUUCACUGGGCGUAAAGGGUGCGUAGGUGGUGAGGUAAGUCGGAUGUGAAAGCUCGGAGCUCAACUCCGAAAUGGCAUUGGAAACUACCUUGCUCGAGGGUUGGAGGGGGGACUGGAAUACUUGGUGUAGCAGUGAAAUGCGUAGAUAUCAAGUGGAACACCAGUGGCGAAGGCGAGUCCCUGGACAACUCCUGACACUGAGGCACGAAAGCUAGGGGAGCAAACAGG
rnacentral:rRNA from 1 species